rnacentral:lncRNA from 1 species
UUGGGGAUUUAAUUCCAGAUCUGAUUAGUUUAAUCUUGUUCUUUGUUUUAAUUUCAGAUCUGUUCGUUUAGAGCUUUCGUAGGAGUUUCUCGUGACUUGGCAACUCGAUCUUGGUCCGCGUGCCACCCCGUAUCAUUUGGUAUCAGAUUUUGGGCGUUUUGGGUGUUCUUGGUUGAUUUCUAAACUGAUCUCUAUUUUUUAAAGCACAAAUAGCAGUUUUACCCAGAAAAAUUGUUCAAAAAAAAUUCAUUUGGGUGGGUAAACAUUGUCCGAUUGAUCUGAAAUUUUACAUACAUAUUUGUGACACUGUGAUUGAAUAGAAAAAAAUUAUUCCCGCAAAAAAAUCAGUCAAAAAAGUCAAAAAAUUAAAAAAGACGAAAUUCAAUAAAAAAUUAAAAAAAGAUUCAGCGGGUUGAAUUUGGUGCCCAAAAUUUCCAGAUCAAAAAUUAAAUAUUUAAGGACAUUCCAGAUUUAAUUUCGUGAUUUUUAGAGAUCGGGAACACCUCGAACGAAGUUGUCAAGUUACUCCACAG